UACGUAGGGGGCAAGCGUUGUCCGGAAUCAUUGGGCGUAAAGCGCGUGUAGGCGGCCCGAUAAGUCCGCUGUGAAAGUCCAGGGCUCAACCCUGGGAUGCCGGUGGAUACUGUCGGGCUCGAGUCCGGAAGAGGAGUGUGGAAUUCCUGGUGUAGCGGUGAAAUGCGCAGAUAUCAGGAGGAACACCAAUGGCGAAGGCAGCACUCUGGGACGUGACUGACGCUGAGACGCGAAAGCAUGGGGAGCGAACAGG
rnacentral:rRNA from 1 species